UAGAGAGAGACAUGCGCGCAUAUCAAUAAGCGGAGGAAAAGAAACUAACUAGGAUUCCCUCAGUGACGGCGAGUGAAGCGGGAAGAGCUCAAAUUUGAAAUCUUAAAGGUUUCCCUUGACGAAUUGUAGUUUAAAGAAGUGUUUUCUGUUGGAGUUUCGGUAAAAGUUCUUUGGAAUAGGACAUCAUAGAGGGUGAGAAUCCCGUAUUUGACCAUUACUUUCCAACUUUGUGAUACACUUUCAAAGAGUCGGAUUGUUUGGGAAUGCAGUCCAAAAUGGGUGGUAAAUUUCAUCUAAAGCUAAAUAUUGGCGAGAGACCGAUAGCGAACAAGUACCGUGAGGGAAAGAUGAAAAGAACUUUGAAAAGAGAGUUAAACAGUACGUGAAAUUGUCAAAAGGGAAGCGUUCGACACCAGUGUUGUUUUCUCGAAAAUCAAUUAAAAAGAUGGGGAUUUUGUGUUGUAUUGACUUUAUCAGCUUUCUGCACUCUUUUCUUGUCUUUUUUAAUGCACUUUUCGUUUAACAAGUCAACAUCAAUUUCUUUUGUUGUAAAAGAGUCAUUGGAAGGUGGCUUUCUUUUCGGAGAAAGUGUUUAUAGCCUUUGGCUUCUGCAAUCGGAGAGAUUGAGGUCUGCAGCGUAGAUCCUUCGGGGUUAGAUAGCAUUUGUGCUAAGUUAUAGCCUUUCAUAGACAACUUGUUGACUAUGAUCAGUCAUGUAGCUUACUCGCUUAUGCUAUUUUACCUACGCUUAGGAUGUUGACAGCAGUAUAGACUGU
rnacentral:rRNA from 1 species